AGGAUCGAAGACAAUGACGGUGAAUUCUUGUUAAUAGAAGCUGCUGACUUUCUCCCUAAAUGGUUGGAUCCUGAUAAUAGUGCCAACAGGGUAUUUUUCCACCAAGGGGAGUUGUGCAUUAUUCCUGCACCAAAGAAAUCUGGAACAGUAUCCUGGUUACCUACCACACCCCCAACAAUCUCACAAGCACUGAGUAUAAUCUCAACACACCCAGAAAAAAUUCUGGCUUCAGAAUCUGUACGAGCUGCUGUGAAUAGA